AGCGAACGCUGGCGGCAGGCCUAACACAUGCAAGUCGAACGAACUCUUCGGAGUUAGUGGCGGACGGGUGAGUAACACGUGGGAACGUGCCUUUUGGUUCGGAAUAACUCAGGGAAACUUGUGCUAAUACCGAAUGUGCCCUUCGGGGGAAAGAUUUAUCGCCAUUAGAGCGGCCCGCGUCUGAUUAGCUAGUUGGUUAGGUAACGGCUCACCAAGGCGACGAUCAGUAGCUGGUCUGAGAGGAUGACCAGCCACACUGGGACUGAGACACGGCCCAGACUCCUACGGGAGGCAGCAGUGGGGAAUCUUGCGCAAUGGGCGAAAGCCUGACGCGGCCAUGCCGCGUGAAUGAUGAAGGUCUUAGGAUUGUAAAAUUCUUUCACCGGGGACGAUAAUGACGGUACCCGGAGAAGAAGCCCCGGCUAACUUCGUG
rnacentral:rRNA from 1 species